GCCAGGCAUGGUUGUGCGUGCCUGUUGUCCCAGCUACUCGGGAGGUUGAGGUGGGAGGAUCGCUUGAGCCCAGGAGUUCUGGGCCAAUGCCAAUCGGGUGUCUGCACUAAGUUUGGCAUCAAUAUGGUGACCUCCCAGGAGCAGGGGACCACCAGGUUGCCUAAGGAGGGAUGAAUCGGCCCAGGUCAGAAACAGAGCAGGUCAAAACUCCCAUGCUGAUCAGUAGUGGGAUCGCGUCUGUGAAUAGCCACUGCACUCCAGCCUGGGCAACAUAGUGAGACCCUGUCUCUU
ensembl:misc_RNA Metazoa_SRP Metazoan signal recognition particle RNA